AGAGUUUGAUCCUGGCUCAGGAUGAACGCUAGCUACAGGCUUAACACAUGCAAGUCGAGGGGAAACGGCAUCGAAAGCUUGCUUUUGGUGGGCGUCGACCGGCGCACGGGUGAGUAACGCGUAUCCAACCUGCCCACCACUUGGGGAUAACCUUGCGAAAGUAAGACUAAUACCCAAUGAUAUCUCUAGAAGACAUCUGAAAGAGAUUAAAGAUUUAUCGGUGAUGGAUGGGGAUGCGUCUGAUUAGCUUGUUGGCGGGGUAACGGCCACCAAGGCGACGAUCAGUAGGGGUUCUGAGAGGAACGGUCCCCACAUUGGAACUGAGACACGGUCCAAACUCCUACGGGAGGCA
rnacentral:rRNA from 1 species